UCAUAGCUCAGUCGGUAGAGCACGAGACUCUUAAUCUCACGUUGGUGGGUUUGAGCCCCAUAUUGGGCAGAA